rnacentral:rRNA from 1 species
GGAAUAUUGCACAAUGGGGGAAACCCUGAUGCAGCAACGCCACGUGUGGGAAGAAGCAUUUCGGUGUGUAAACCACUGUCGUGAGGGAAUAAGGCUGAGUUUCGGCUCAGUUGAAUGUACCUCGAGAGGAAGCACCGGCAAACUUCGUGCCAGCAGCCGCGGUAAUACGAGGGGUGCAAGCGUUGUUCGGAAUCACUGGGCGUAAAGGGAGCGCAGGCGGAAGCUCAAGCGGAUUGUACAAUACCGGGGCCCAACCCCGGACCUGCAGUCCGAACUGGGUUUCUUGGAUAGUUCAGGGGCAAGCGGAAUUCCUGGUGUAGCGGUGGAAUGCGUAGAGAUCAGGAAGAACACCGAUGGCGAAGGCAGCUUGCUGGGGACUAAUCGACGCUCAUGCUCGAAAGUGCGGGUAGCAAACA